rnacentral:rRNA from 1 species
UACGGAGGGUGCAAGCGUUAUCCGGAUUUACUGGGCUUAAAGGGUGCGUAGGUGGGCAGGUAAGUCAGUGGUGAAAUCUUCGAGCUUAACUCGGAAACUGCCAUUGAUACUAUCUGUCUUGAAUUAUCUGGAGGUAAGCGGAAUAUGUCAUGUAGCGGUGAAAUGCUUAGAUAUGACAUAGAACACCCAUUGCGAAGGCAGCUUACUACGGAUCGAUUGACACUGAGGCACGAAAGCGUGGGGAUCAAACAGG